rnacentral:rRNA from 1 species
UACGAAGGGUGCAAGCGUUACUCGGAAUUACUGGGCGUAAAGCGUGCGUAGGUGGUUCGUUAAGUCUGAUGUGAAAGCCCUGGGCUCAACCUGGGAAUGGCAUUGGAAACUGGCGAUCUAGAGUGCGGUAGAGGGUAGUGGAAUUCCCGGUGUAGCAGUGAAAUGCGUAGAGAUCGGGAGGAACAUCUGUGGCGAAGGCGACUGCCUGGACCAGCACUGACACUGAGGCACGAAAGCGUGGGGAGCAAACGGG